rnacentral:tRNA from 1 species
UGCCGAAUGGUCCAAAGGCUAGGAUCUCAGAAUUUGGCUCUGAGGAUACAGGUUCGAAUCCUGUUUCGGCAU